ensembl:miRNA
AGAGACACCUGUUCCUUGGGAAGCUGGUGACAUUGUGAAUUCAUUUCACACCAUCCUGACAGGAACAGCUGGAUCAGA